rnacentral:misc_RNA from 1 species
GAUGAAGAACGUAGCGAAAUGCGAUAAGUAAUGUGAAUUGCAGAAUUCAGUGAAUCAUCGAAUCUUUCAACGCACAUUGCGCCCCUUGGUAUUCCGAGGGGCAUGCCUGUUCGAGCGUCAUAUUAACCACUCCCGCUUGCGGGGUCUUGGGCUUCGCCUCCGGGCGGGCCUUAAAAUCAGUGGCGGUGCCGUCGGGCUCUACGCGUAGUAAAUUUUCUCGCGAUAGGGUCCCGGUGGAUGCUUGCCAACAACCCCCAACUUCUUAAGGUUGACCUCGGAUCAGGUAGGGAUACCCGCUGAACUUAAGCAUAUCAAUAAGCGGAGGA